UUACUAUGAUGAGAUUCCACUUUAUGGUCCGUGUUUCUGAAACACAUGAUUUUUGUGGAACUUCUGAUUCU
ensembl:snoRNA SNORD18 Small nucleolar RNA SNORD18